rnacentral:rRNA from 1 species
UACGAAGGGGGCUAGCGUUGCUCGGAAUCACUGGGCGUAAAGGGUGCGUAGGCGGGUUUUUAAGUCAGGGGUGAAAUCCCAGGGCUCAACCCUGGAACUGCCUUUGAUACUGUCGAUCUGGAGUAUGGAAGAGGUGAGUGGAAUUCCUGGUGUAGCGGUGAAAUGCGCAGAUAUCAGGAGGAACACCAAUGGCGAAGGCAGCUCGCUGGGACGGUACUGACACUGAGACGCGAAAGCGUGGGGAGCAAACAGG